rnacentral:lncRNA from 1 species
ACGGGGCAGGCUCUGGCUGGAGAAUUCAGCUGCAGGUGCUCUGUCCCAGCAGACAGGAGGCAGGGGGACAAGGAGGGCUUGUUGCCAUCCCCAGUGCAAUGCAGCAGCUCAAGCAUUAGCAGAGGGACAUGCAUCCUUGGUUAGCAAGCAGAUCCAUGAGGAUGUCUGGAAGUAAGGAGGGACUUGAUAGGUCUGCUUAAUUGCUUCCUGCCUCAAGCCCAGAUUGGUCUGGGAAAGAGGCUGGGCCCAGGCUGCAGGUGGGAGAUUGCGUGGCCAGCUGUGAUGAACUGGAGAGGCUGACAACCAGCUAGAGGCAGGAUGAGCUGUCUCAAGGAAGAAGAAAUCAAAACAGCCUUUAAAUUACUGGAGGUCAUGUCCUGUUUGAAACAACAACAAGAAAAGAGAGCAGAGUGCUACCUCUCCUGCAGAGACCUUGCUGCCAUGAUCUCUAGCCAAAGAGGUUACAUUAGUUCCAUCUUCAUAGCCCAGGGACUGAGGCUUGAACCCACAAGUCUCUCUUUCUCACUCCUUUAAAGAAACUGCUAACCACUUCCAGGUCAACUGCUGAA